AUUGAACGCUGGCGGAAUGCUUUACACAUGCAAGUCGAACGGUAGAGGGGGCAACCCCUCGAGAGUGGCGAACGGGUGAGUAAUAUAUCGGAACGUGCCCAGUCGUGGGGGAUAACGUAGCGAAAGUUACGCUAAUACCGCAUACGAUCUACGGAUGAAAGCGGGGGAUCGCAAGACCUCGCGCGAUUGGAGCGGCCGAUAUCAGAUUAGGUAGUUGGUGGGGUAAAGGCUCACCAAGCCAACGAUCUGUAGCUGGUCUGAGAGGACGACCAGCCACACUGGGACUGAGACACGGCCCAGACUCCUACGGGAGGCAGCAGUGGGGAAUUUUGGACAAUGGGCGCAAGCCUGAUCCAGCAAUGCCGCGUGCAGGAAGAAGGCCUUCGGGUUGUAAACUGCUUUUGUACGGAACGAAAAGGUCUGGGUUAAUACCCUGGGCUCAUGACGGUACCGUAAGAAUAAGCACCGGCUAACUACGUG
rnacentral:rRNA from 1 species